rnacentral:rRNA from 1 species
CUCCUACGGGACGCAGCAGUGAGGAAUAUUGGUCAAUGGCCGCAGGGCUGAACCAGCCAAGUCGCGUGAGGGAUGACGGUCCUAUGGACUGUAAACCUCUUUUGUCAGGGAGCAAAGGGCGCCACGUGUGGCGUUUUGCGAGUACCUGAAGAAAAAGCAUCGGCUAACUCCGUGCCAGCAGCCGCGGUAAUACGGAGGAUGCGAGCGUUAUCCGGAUUUAUUGGGUUUAAAGGGUGCGCAGGCAGAAUGUCAAGUCAGCGGUAAAAUUUCGAGGCUCAACCCAGUCGUGCCGUUGAUA